rnacentral:rRNA from 1 species
GAUGAACGCUGGCGGCGUGCCUAAUACAUGCAAGUCGAGCGAACAGACGAGGAGCUUGCUCCUCUGACGUUAGCGGCGGACGGGUGAGUAACACGUGUAUAACCUACCUAUAAGUCUGGGAUAACUUCGGGAAACCGGAGCUAAUACCGGAUAAUAUAUUGAACCGCAUGGUUCAAUAGUGAAAGACGGUUUUGCUGUCACUUAUAGAUGGAUCCGCGCCGCAUUAGCUAGUUGGUAAGGUAACGGCUUACCAAGGCAACGAUGCGUAGCCGACCUGAGAGGGGGAUCGGCCACACUGGAACUGAGACACGGUCCAGACUCCUACGGGAGGCAGCAGUAGGGAAUCUUACGCAAUGGGCGAAAGCCUGACGGAGCAACGCCGCGUGAGUGAUGAAGGUCUUCGGAUCGUAAAAAUCUGUUAUUAGGGAAGAACAAAUGUGGAAGUAACUAUGCACGUAGUGACGGUACCUAAUCAGAAAGCCACGGCUAACUACGUG